rnacentral:rRNA from 1 species
GACGAACGCUGGCGGCAGGCCUAACACAUGCAAGUCGAACGAGUGGCGGACGGGUGAGUAAUGUCUGGGAAACUGCCCGAUGGAGGGGGAUAACUACUGGAAACGGUAGCUAAUACCGCAUACCAUCGGAUGUGCCCAGAUGGGAUUAGCUAGUAGGUGGGGUAACGGCUCACCUAGGCGACGAUCCCUAGCUGGUCUGAGAGGAUGACCAGCCACACUGUAACGGAGACACGGUCCGGACCCCUACGGGAGGCAGCAGGGGGGAAUAUGGCACAAUGGGCGCAAGCCUGAGGCAGCCAUGCGGCGUGUAGGAAGAAGGCCUUCGGGUUGUAAAGUACUUUCAGCGGGGAGGCGUUAAUCGAAGAAGAAGCACCGGCUAACGCCGGGCCAGCAGCCGCGGUAAUAC